UACGUAGGGUGCAAGCGUUGUCCGGAAUUAUUGGGCGUAAAGAGCUCGUAGGCGGUCUGUCGCGUCGGAUGUGAAAAUCCAGGGCUCAACCCUGGACCUGCAUUCGAUACGGGCAGACUAGAGUUCGGUAGGGGAGACUGGAAUUCCUGGUGUAGCGGUGAAAUGCGCAGAUAUCAGGAAGAACACCGGUGGCGAAGGCGGCUCUCUGGGCCUUACCUGACGCUGAGGAGCGAAAGCGUGGGUAGCGAACAGG
rnacentral:rRNA from 1 species